CCAAAUACAUAUCUAAUGGAUCUUCCGGGAUACCAUCACGUAGUGCAACUCAUAGUGUGCGAGGAUCUACUAGAAUCCUGUUCCAUAGUCCCAAAUGUAAAUACCCAAUAUUAGGAGAAUCUACCGCAACUGCGAGUAUGACAAAUAAGCAGCUGAAGCUGCAACUCCAAACUCCUAAAUCCUUCCAUCAACCAUUUGAAAUCAUCUCGAGGCCCUCGGGACCUCAACCAAAGGCACCAAAAGUCUAAUUCCACUAUCCAAACUUAU
rnacentral:lncRNA from 1 species